CUUCAGUCUUUUCUGGUGGCGCCCCCCCCCCCCCUUUUCCUCCUGUAUCUUACUUCCCCGGGUUCAUUUUGCCUAAGGGGGCACAAAGUAUAGCGGAUCUGAGGCGGAGGAGGCGGCGGUGAGUGCCAGAGAAUUCCUAAAUCAGCCCUUAAUAACACUUUUCUUUUUUCUUUAUUUGUUGUUCCUAGUUUUUAAGAAACAUUUAAAUCACUAAUGAUAUGUAAACAAGUCUCUUCCUUUCCCCACCCUUGUGGUUUUUGUUUUUUAAACUAGUCCUUUGUAACAUUUUUCCUUUCACUCUUCCCUAAAUGCUUUGCUUUGACGCCUGAGGCUUGCAUGUGCACUAUUGAUUGCUUUUGUAUUUAGUUUUUGCAAACUGACUUGAUGCCUGAACCUUGAGUUUCUUGGCUUUAGUGGUCUGGCGUUUUUGUUGUGGCUGCUCGUGUUCAACGAUAGGCUUCGAUUGAAUGCUUAUUGGUCUUUCCUGCUCCUCUCUCCUCCCCCAAUUCCCCUGUCUCUCUCUGCUCCCACUCAUUCGUAGCUUCCUCCUCCUCUUUCUUUAGCUUUACGCUCUUCUACCCGGUCUUACUGCCUCAGGGCUAGACAGCCGGUACACUACGCUUCUCUAUUCUAGCAACGCUGUUCACUGCAGAUUAAACCAUCUCGCAUUGUGGGUAAUGGCGACUACCACUCCAAUGGUGCAGAGAACAGGAGGCCGGGCCAGUGGGCCUUCAACCCCGCUCAGCCCGACUCGGUUGUCUCGCUUGCGGGAGAAGGAGGAACUGCGAGAGCUUAAUGACCGGUUGGCGGUCUAUAUAGACAAAGUGCGGAGCCUAGAACUCGAGAAAAGCGUGCUGCAGCUGCAGGUGACUGAGCACGACCGCGAGCUCACUGGACUCAAGACGCUGUAUGAGACCGAGCUCGCGGAUGCCCGCCGGGCUUUGGACGACACGGCCUGCGAGAGAGCCAAGUUGCAGAUCGAACUGGGCAAGUUUAAGGCAGAACAUGAUCAGCUGCUGCUUAAUUAUACCAAGAAAGAAUCUGAUCUUAAUGGUGCCCAGAUUAAGCUUAGAGAAUACGAAGCUUCGCUGAAUGCCAAAGAAGCUGCCUUGGCUACAGCACUUGGUGACAAGAAAAGCCUGGAGAAUGACUUGAAGGAGCUGAGGGACCAAAUUGUACAGUUGGAAGCUUCCUUAGCAGCUACCAAGAAUCAGUUAGCAGAUGAAACCUUACUUAAAGUAGAUCUUGAGAACCAUUGUCAAAGUCUCACUGAAGACCUGGAGUUUCGCAAAAAUAUGUAUGAAGAGGAGAUCAAUGAAACAAGAAGAAAACAUGAAACACGCUUAGUAGAAGUGGAUUCUGGGCGCCAGAUUGAGUAUGAGUAUAAAUUGGCUCAAGCAGUACACGAGAUGAGAGAACAGCACAAUGAACAAGUGAAAUUGUACAAAGAGGAGCUAGAACAGAGUUAUCAUGCCAAACUUGAAAAUGCUAGAUUGUCCUCAGAGAUGACUGCAUUCACUGUCAACAGUGCCAGAGAAGAACUGAUGGAAAGCCAAAUGAGGAUUGAAAGCCUUUCCUCCCAGCUUUCUAAUUUACAGAAAGAGUAUAGAGCAUGCUUGGAUAGGAUGCAAGAGCUGGAGGAUUUGCUUGUAAAAGAAAGAGACAACUCUCGACGACUGCUAUCCGAUAAAGAAAGGGAAAUGGCAGAAGUAAGGAAUCAAAUGCAGCAACAGUUAAAUGAAUAUGAACAACUUCUAGAUGUGAAAUUAGCCCUAGAUGUGGAAAUCCGUGCAUAUAGGAAAUUGUUGGAAGUUGAAGAAGAAAGGUUGAAGCUUUCUCCAACUCCUUCUUCUCGUGUAACAGUGUCAAGAGCAUCAUCUAGUCAAAGUGUGCGUACAACUAAAGGAAAGAGGAAGAGAGUUGAUGUGGAGGAAUCUGAGGCGAGUAGUAGCAUCAGCAUCUCUCAUUCAGCCUCAGCUACUGGAAAUGUUUGCAUUGAAAAGAUAGAUGUAGAUGGAAAAUUUAUUUGCCUAAAGAACACUUCUGAACAGGAUCAACCAAUGGGAGGCUGGGAGAUGAUCAGAAAAAUAGGAGAUAGUUCUGUCACUUAUAAAUAUUCUUCAAGAUAUGUAUUGAAAGCAGGCCAAACUGUUACAGUAAGAAAACUGAGGACAAGAGGUGAAAUGACUUGUUUACAUUCACACAGAUUUGGGCUGCAAAUGCUGGAGUCACUGCAUCUCCUCCCACUGACCUUAUCUGGAAAAAUCAGAACUCUUGGGGUACUGGUGAAGAUGUGAAAGUUAUAUUAAAAAAUUCUCAGGGAGAGGAGGUUGCUCAAAGAAGUACAGUCUUCAAAACAACUUUACCUGAAGAGGAGGAGGAGGAAGAAGAGGGAAAGAAAGAAGUUAUUGAAGCAGUUGAGGAAGAGAAUGUUUCUCGUCAGCAGGGAGACCUAAGAACAUCCAAGAGAAGCUGUGCAAUUAUGUGAAUUAUUCAACUAUCUUUCUCAAAAUUAGAAACUGCAGUAAUCCUCAUCUACAUACACUCAGAACCUUCUCAGAAGCACAAAGUAUUUUUAUAUUUCCUUUAUGUGAAUUUAUAAGCUGGAAGCCUUAAUGGCCUUAAUUUCCUUUUUGACACUGAAAAAUAUGUUUUAUAAAACAAACUCUAUCAUAACUUUUCUGUAAAAUGUGAAUUAUUGAUUGUGUAUUUUUUUUAAUCCUUCAAAUUUCUCUGCCAUUUUUGUGUUACUGUAUUUUUCUUGAUCUUUAUUUUUGAAAGCUUUUGUGAGAAGGAGAAAUAAACCACUGUGUCUGGGAGUUAUUUGGAGAUUUCUCCAUCUAAAUUAUCAUUGUGCUAUUAUUGAUGAUUCUCUAUUAUGUAUAAUGGUGCUGUGAGGGAGAGGGAAAGCAUUUUCAAUAUUUUGGACAUUUUUGUAUCUGGGGUUUUUUUUUUUGUAAUAAUAAAGGUGUUACAGAUUUUUUUGAUAGAAAAAUUGAAACUUUGUAAGACAUUAAUGUUGCCUAAUUAUGUGAACAUUCAAUAAAAGCUACAAUAAAACUUG